UACGUAGGGUGCAAGCGUUGUCCGGAAUUAUUGGGCGUAAAGAGCUCGUAGGCGGUCUGUCGCGUCUGCUGUGAAAACUCGGGGCUUAACCCCGGGCCUGCAGUGGGUACGGACAGACUAGAGUGCGGUAGGGGAGACUGGAAUUCCUGGUGUAGCGGUGAAAUGCGCAGAUAUCAGGAGGAACACCGAUGGCGAAGGCAGGUCUCUGGGCAUUAACUGACGCUGAGGAGCGAAAGCAUGGGGAGCGAGCAGG
rnacentral:rRNA from 1 species